UCCUGUUCAUGCUCUGCCUCUCAAAAAUACAUAAACGUUAAAACAUUUCUUUUUACAGACGACUUCUAAUCCGACGGAGGUGUCACACAUUAUGGGCACAACUACGAAGACGUGGUUUUCUGAGAGGCAUGCUCAAAGACUGGACGGUUAACGUGUCUUGACCUGUGCCAGGCGCGUGAUUUAAUCUCACUUAGUCCUGGCCAGAACCUUGGCAGGUUUGAGCCUAGGAUUGUUUGAAGUGUGGAAGAGCCUGGGCAUCUGACCCCCCAUGACGUGACUUCUUGAAGGCAAACGUGGACCCAGCACUCGCAAGCACAGACCCAGCUGUGGACCCAGGCAGCGCCUUGAAGACGUGACAAAUGCAUCAAAGACACAGAGACACAUUCCCGGCAGACGUCAGACACAGGGAACGCCACACACACACACACACACUCACACACACACACUCGCGCACAC